rnacentral:rRNA from 1 species
AAUUUUGGACAAUGGGGGCAACCCUGAUCCAGCCAUCCCGCGUGUGCGAUGAAGGCCUUCGGGUUGUAAAGCACUUUUGGCAGGGAAGAAAAUCCGCGGGCCAAUACCCCCCGGUGCUGACGGUACCUGCAGAAUAAGCACCGGCUAACCACGUGCCAGCAGCCGCGGUAAUACGUAGUGUGCAAGCGUUAAUCGGAAUUACUGGGCGUAAAGCGUGCGCAGGCGGUUUGGCAAGAAGGAUGUGAAAUCCCAGGGCUUAACCUUGGAACUGCAUUUUUAACUGCCGGGCUAGAGUAUGUCAGAGGGGGGUAGAAUUCCACGUGUAGCAGUGAAAUGCGUAGAGAUGUGGAGGAAUACCGAUGGCGAAGGCAGCCCCCUGGGAUAAUACUGACGCUCAUGCACGAAAGCGUGGGGAGCAAACA